AUAAUAUUUCCUAUCAGAAUGGAUGUGGCCGUCUGUUUUCUUCUUGGUUUACUUUUUUCUGUACAUGGGUUAAAAGUCAACUUUACCACUUAUAAUCAAAGCUCCUUGUAUAGCAAUAGCGAUGGCCCAAAAAAAGCUGUGGACGGGAAUGUAUUAACCUCAUCCAUAACUAACAUUGGAGCAAAUGAGUUUUGGUUGGGAGAGUUUGACAGACCCCACAAAAUAAGCUCAAUGUUUGUCGUCGUUGGUAAAGGCAGACAACGUAUCUUUGUCAGCUAUGGGAUCACCAAUAGCCCCAUGCAUAUGUGUGUAGAAAUCGUAACACCAUCAGGUUAUGAUUUCAUCAAUAUGAAUGUAACGUGUAAGCAAACACUGGAGGGUGAUACGGUGACUGUGAGGAAAGUUGGUAACGGAUCCUUGGUUCUUAAUGAAAUUAUCCCAAUCGAAUGUCCAGAGAACACUCACAGCUUUUCCUGUAUCAGUUGUCCUCCCAACUGCGUAAACGGAUGCUCUGCUGUUGAUGGGACUUGCAAAAAUGAUUGCAAAAGGGGUAAAUUUGGACGAAUGUGUCAUAGAGAUUGUCAUCACGUCUGCUCAGAUGGUACUUGUGAUAGACAUGAGGGAAGGUGCUCACAAGGUGUGUCUAUUAUAUUACAUUACGUUAAGUAACGUUGUGUUAUGUUAUGUCAUGUUAAAUAACGCAGCUUCUAAUGGACUGUAAGCUUAUUCAAUGCAUUAUUUCAUAACAGUGCAAUGAUGUAUUAAAUUUUCUAAUGACAGUUAUUUGUUUGCAAUUUAUCAAAAUUCAUUUCAAGUUAGAGAAAACUUAAUUAAGAUAAAAGUGAUAUUUGUUUCUAAAACUUUCAAGAUUAAUCAAUCUGUCAUACUAUACAUUAAACCCUUGUUUUUAAUUUUUCAGAAAAUGUGAUAAUAGCUGUUGUUUUCUCUCUCUGUUUGGUGUUCAUUGUUGUAAGCGUCAUAGGUUUUCUAAUCAAGCGGCGAAAGAAGUUAUUUAAAUUAUUCAAAACCCCCUUACAACCUCUCCAUUUGGAAACUGGGAACGACGUUAUAAUGACGUAUUCAACAAGUAAUCGUUACCAAGAGGGUACCGCGGACCCCCAGAUGCCCACCUCUCCCCUCAGCAACUGUCCAGUGGAGUAUAUCCAUAUGAUUGAUGGACAAUUCACUGUCAAAAUGUCACCCGUGGAAUUCCUCAGAUACAUUGACCAAAAACAAAAUGAAGAGCUCCUGUUAAAGAGUCUAGUGAGUCUUCCGGGGUGGCUUAUGGGCAGGUGUUUUGAGGCAGAAAGGGCAGAAAAUAGAGCUAAAAAUAGAUCGUCGACUCUUCUGCCAUAUGAUCGAAAUCGCUUCGUUCUGGAGCCCUUAGAAAAUGGAGAUGACCGCGGGGAUUAUAUAAAUGCAAGCUAUAUAUCGGGACACCAAAAUGAAAGAGCCUACAUUCUCACGUUAGGCCCGUUCUCCAACGACACUCAGCUAGAUUUCUGGAGAAUGGUGUGGCAGUCCAACUGUAAGUGUGUGGUCAUGCUAACAGCCCUGAGAGAGGGGGAUAAGAAAAAAUGUAUGCAAUACUGGCCCGAGGAGUCGGGGGAAUGUGGCCCUUUCUUUAUCAUAAUAAGGCACACUGAACAGUGUAAUAACUACGUUGUCAGACAGAUGAUAAUACGGAAGAAGGAAGAAACACGAAGAUUGGUCCAUUUCCAGAUGACUUCAUGGGGAGAUGCCAAACGACACAUGAAAAUCGACACCUUACUUCAACUCCGAACCAGUGUUAACUCGAUCACAUUUGGAGACGCUGCACCUAUCAUCAUUCACUCUGGACCCGGUAUCAGUCGGAUUGGUACUUACAUUUCACUGGACAUUUUACUGAGGCAGGGGUCCGGGGACAAUAUCAUUGAUAUUAUCGACACAGUCGUCAAGCUGAGAUCUCAACGGGCGUACAUCCUUAACGCCAGGAAGGAACACCAAUUUCUCCUGCGUGCGCUUAAGGUUGGAUUCUCACCAAAUCAGGAUGGAGCUGCCGAGGAAACGAAGGACGACGAAAGCGAGGAAGAUUUGUACGUCAACGCCCAGGGGAAGGGGGAUAUUUACGUCAACUACUGACGGAUAAGAGUUUUUGACAACUCAAUGCAAGACGGAUAAGAGUGUUCGACAAUUCAAUGCAACGUGUAGUUUUCGUUGACCAUUUGACUUAAAGGGUGCAAUUGGUAGAAACAAAUGCUUGUGUAUUUAAAGAGUUGUGAUUAUGAAACAUUCGAAGCAUCAUUAUUUAUUCCAUCUUCAAUGCUUACUGUUCCAAGUAAGUCGUUGUACCGGUGAUUUUUAAAUCAAUAGCCGCUUUGUGCAAAACAUUUACCUUGCGUGAACUAAUAUUUGUAGUCGUCAAUGAAUUAUUUGUAUUACAUAUUGAAACAAUGAUGUUAAGAUUAUAAUUGAAUAAAUUAUAUAAUUCAUUU
rnacentral:misc_RNA from 1 species